UACUCCUACGGGAGGCAGCAGUGGGGAAUUUUGGACAAUGGGCGCAAGCCUGAUCCAGCCAUGCCGCGUGCAGGAUGAAGGCCUUCGGGUUGUAAACUGCUUUUGUACGGAACGAAAAGACUCCUUCUAAUAAAGGGGGUUCAUGACGGUACCGUAAGAAUAAGCACCGGCUAACUACGUGCCAGCAGCCGCGGUAAUACGUAGGGUGCAAGCGUUAAUCGGAAUUACUGGGCGUAAAGCGUGCGCAGGCGGUUAUAUAAGACAGAUGUGAAAUCCCCGGGCUCAACCUGGGAACUGCAUUUGUGACUGUAUAGCUGGAGUACGGCAGAGGGGGAUGGAAUUCCGCGUGUAGCAGUGAAAUGCGUAGAUAUGCGGAGGAACACCGAUGGCGAAGGCAAUCCCCUGGGCCUGUACUG
rnacentral:rRNA from 1 species